rnacentral:rRNA from 1 species
AUUGAACGCUGGCGGCAUGCCUUACACAUGCAAGUCGAACGGUAACGGGCCUUCGGGUGCCGACGAGUGGCGAACGGGUGAGUAAUGUAUCGGAACGUACCUUUCAGUGGGGGAUAACGUAGCGAAAGUUACGCUAAUACCGCAUAUUCUGUGCGCAGGAAAGCAGGGGAUCGCACGACCUUGCGCUGAUUGAGCGGCCGAUAUCAGAUUAGCUAGUUGGUGAGGUAAAGGCUCACCAAGGCGACGAUCUGUAGCGGGUCUGAGAGGAUGAUCCGCCACACUGGAACUGAGACACGGUCCAGACUCCUACGGGAGGCAGCAGUGGGGAAUUUUGGACAAUGGGGGCAACCCUGAUCCAGCCAUGCCGCGUGAGUGAAGAAGGCCUUCGGGUUGUAAAGCUCUUUCGGCCGGGAAGAAAUCGUAUCAGCUAAUACCUGGUGCGGAUGACGGUACCGGCAUAAGAAGCACCGGCUAACUACGUGCCAGCCGCCGCGGUAACAC